GCUCCUCUCAUGCAUUUACUUAUUUGUCUUCAGAUGAAAGAAAGAUUGGUUCCUCCAUCUGGAGCCAACAGACAGCAGCUGUUAAUAAUGAGAUACAUGCACUUUUAUUUUUACUGCUUCUACAUUCAUUCUUCAUUGACAAAAUUAGUCACUGAUGUAAAUUUAACCAGUGUUAAGGUUCUUGGAAGUAUAUUGACUCCUCUUUGUUACAUUUAAUUAUGUUCUUAGUAUAAUUUAUUGUCCAAUCAAUUCUCAUCUAGUUAAUUUGAACAGUUACUCCAGUUAAUACAGUUAGUUUCUUCAUUUAAACGAGCUCAGGAAUAUUUACCAGCAAUUUAAUGAACGACAUUAAAGUAGCCAACAAAGAUCUGAACAAUUCCUAAAAAGCUUUGUUUUAGAAAUACCUGACUACCAUUGUAUAGAAUAUAGGCAUCCACUGUUGAACUACAAGUAUCGUAAUAUUCUAGGAAAGCUAUAUGCUACUGUGUCAGUUUAUAUGCCAUUAUUGACAAAAUUAUCAUCAUCCAGAGAAGAAAUAAACAGUGACCGUAUUAUUCUUUCAGCAUCUCCAACAUAUUAUUCAUGAGUCAUUCACAAACCUGAACAAGUCCCGACAAAAAAGCUAAUUGAAAUCAGAAAACAGUAUGGAUAUAUAUUAAAAUCCUUCAUAUCAACAUAUUGAACUGGUUGUUGCACCAAAUACAAAAUAAAAACACAAUACUCUACUUGGGCCAUUUGGUUCUUAAUGGCAAUCUCUAUCUAUGCAUCUACUGCAUGCAUAAUAAACAAU